GACGAACGCUGGCGGCGUGCUUAACACAUGCAAGUCGAACGCUGAAGCUUUGUUCUUGCACUGGGUUGAUGAGUGGCGAACGGGUGAGUAAUACGUGUGUAACCUGCCCUUGACUCUGGGAUAAUCCUGGGAAACUGGGUCUAAUACUGGAUACGACAUUUCACCGCAUGGUGGUUUGUGGAAAUUGUUUUACUGGUUUUGGAUGGGCUCACGGCCUAUCAGCUUGUUGGUGGGGUAAUGGCUCACCAAGGCGACGACGGGUAGCCGGCCUGAGAGGGUGACCGGCCACACUGGGACUGAGACACGGCCCAGACUCCUACGGGAGGCAGCAGUGGGGAAUAUUGCACAAUGGGCGAAAGCCUGAUGCAGCGACGCCGCGUGAGGGAUGACGGCCUUCGGGUUGUAAACCUCUUUCAGCACGGAAGAAGCGAAAGUGACGGUACGUGCAGAAGAAGCGCCGGCUAACUACGUG
rnacentral:rRNA from 1 species